AGGGUGGACAGCAAAGAAAAGGAGGCCAGAGGCCUGUGGCAGCCUGUCCCCAAGCCACACAGCCAGGAGAUGGCAGGGCUGGGACCAGCGGAGAACGUGGAGGCUGUGAAGCAGGAUUCCGAGCAGGACCUCAGCGAGGCCACUGUCACAGGACGGAAGCAUCAGGGAGCCCGAGUCAUUCCUUGGAGGGCAGCCGUCCAGGAGAGGCACCUGAGGGCAUCAGUCUGUGACGAAUGAGCAGACCCUCAGAAGGAGCCAACUGGACACAUGAACAGAAGGGAUGAAUGAAUGAACAGAAGGGGUGAAUGAAUGAACAGAAGGGAUGAAUGACUGAACAGAAGGGAUGAAUGAAUGAAUGGGCCAUCACUUAACAUGGGCUCGCCCACCACGGCUCCUGGUCUUGCGUUUCUCUUUUCCUCAGCAUUUCUGUGCAUUUCCAGUCUUUCCCCAUUUGGUGCAGUCUACAUUUCUGAGAAUAUUCUUGAUUACUUGUUGGAUAAUCAACCAAUGGAAAUGCCCAGGGGAGAACCUGAUUAUGCCCCAAUCCUCCUUCUUCCAAGCCCACACGGCCACAGCUGGAAGUCCAUUUGCUUCUUAAAUGAGCCAAAAGAUGGCAAUUCUCUUCUUCUCUCAUCCUCUCUGCACUUACUGCAUCCUCACCAAUGAUUUGAGAACUUCGUUUAUAUUUCUUUUAUUCCAAUAUAAAAGUAUUAAAAUAACCAGAGACAUCAUCUGAGAUAUGAACAGGAUGUGCAAUUCAGUAUAUUAGAAAUAGCCUAAAUGUCAAAAGAAGGGAUUAACUGAAUAAUGGAGGGUGUAUCCUUAGGCAUAGGUAUUUGCUGCCAUUAAAAAACCAUAUUUUUGCAUGUGAACAACAGGAAGAAAUCACCAUAUAAUAAUAAUUAGAAGUGCAAGUUUGAAAAACUAUAGAGAGCAUAAUAUUGAUUUUGUAGAAAAGUAUUCCACACAGAAAAGCACAAGAGAAACUGAAUCAAAAUCAUAACAGGUUAGUGCUGGGUGGCAGAGUCUCCUUGUCCUUGGGCAAAAUAAUCCAACACAAGGCCAGUUGGGAGUCAGAUUUCUGGGUAAAAUCUCAGCUCUACUACCAGCUGGUUCUCUGGCCAUGGGCAGGGUUCCUAUCUGGUUGGUGCCUUGUUUUCUGUAAAAAUGGAGAUGAUUCUACCCCCGAACUCCUAGGGCUGGAGGGAUGAAUCUGGUAAAGCACUUAGACAAAAUUAAGGGGCUAAUGAACAAACACUGUCAGCACCCACCAGGAGGAUAAACCUGGGGGAGCUGAGACACCCCUGCCCCACCCCCACCCAGGUACAACACACACACACAAAUGCACACACAAACACACACCAAUACACAUUCACAAACAAAGGCACACACAUACAAACACAAACACAUACACACACGCACACAUAUACAAAUGCACACAUAUACAAACACACAGAAACGAAUACACAAACACAUAAAUGCACACACAUACAAACACACAUAAACAAAUACACACACAAACACACAUAUAUACAAAUGCACACAUACACAAACACAAACACGAAUACACACACAAACACAUAAAGGCACACACAAAC
rnacentral:lncRNA from 1 species